UGCUGGAGGUAUCAGAAGUGCGAAUGCUGACAUAAGUAACGAUAAAGCGGGUGAAAAGCCCGCUCGCCGGAAGACCAAGGGUUCCUGUCCAACGUUAAUCGGGGCAGGGUGAGUCGACCCCUAAGGCGAGGCCGAAAGGCGUAGUCGAUGGGAAACAGGUUAAUAUUCCUGUACUUGGUGUUACUGCGAAGGGGGGACGGAGAAGGCUAUGUUAGCCGGGCGACGGUUGUCCCGGUUUAAGCAUGUAGGCUGGUUGUCCAGGCAAAUCCGGAUAAUCAAGGCUGAGGUGUGAUGACGAGGCACUACGGUGCUGAAGUAACAAAUGCCCUGCUUCCAGGAAAA
rnacentral:rRNA from 1 species